AAAUAGAUACCCCGGUAGUCCUGGCCGUAAACGAUGAGCACUGGAUCGAGGACUCCCCCAUAGGUUCUCGGUCGUAGCGAAAGUGUUAAGUGCUCCGCUUGGGGAGUAUGGUCGCAAGGCUGAAACUCAAAGGAAUUGACGGGGGCUCACACAAGCGGUGGAGGAUGUGGCUUAAUUCGAGGCUACGCGAAGAACCUUAUCCAGGCCUUGACAUGUACGGAUUAACCCUAUGAAAGUAGGGCCACGCCUUCGGGUGGAACGUACACAGGUGCUGCAUGGCUGUCGCCAGCUCGUGUCGUGAGAUGUCGGGUUAAGUCCCUUAACGAGCGAAACCCUUGUCUCUAGUUGCCAGCGCGUUAUGGCGGGGACUCUAGAGAGACUGCCGGUGUUAAACCGGAGGAAGGUGGGGAUGACGUCAAGUCCUCAUGGCCUUUAUGGCCUGGGCUGCACACGUCCUACAAUGGCGCAUACAAAGGGAAGCAAGCUCGCGAGAGUAAGCAAAAUCCCGAUAAAAGUGCGCCCCAGUUCGGAUUGCAGG
rnacentral:rRNA from 1 species